rnacentral:rRNA from 1 species
AUGGGCAUUGGCCUCAAUUUUAGCAAGUCAUCCUCCACCCUUGUUAGUGCAUUCUCUGACUCAGAUUGGGCAGGAUGUUUGGAUGAUAGAUGCUCCACUGGUGGUUUUGCAGUGUUCCUUGGAUCUAAUUUGAUCUCUUGGUGUGCUAGAAAACAAGCUACUGUUUCAAGGUCCAGCACAGAAGCAGAGUAUAAGGCACUAGCUAAUGCUACUGCAGAGAUUAUAUGGGUACAAUCCAUUCUUAAGGAGCUUGGUGUGAAAACCACUCAAGCUCCAUGUCUGUGGUGUGACAAUUUAGGUGCAACUUAUCUCUCAGCAAAUCCAGUUUUUCAUGCAAGAACGAAACAUAUUGAGAUAGAUUUCCAUUUUGUCAGAGAAAGAGUUGCUAGUAAACUCCUAGACAUUCGGUUUAUACAUUCUCAAGACCAGAUUGCAGAUGGGUUUACUAAAGCCUUGCCCAUACGAAGCUUUGAGAACUUCAAGUAUAAUCUUAACUUGAUGAAGUUGUGA